rnacentral:rRNA from 1 species
AACGAACGCUGGCGGCAUGCCUAAUACAUGCAAGUCGAACGAGAUCUUCGGAUCUAGUGGCGCACGGGUGCGUAACGCGUGGGAAUCUGCCCUUGGGUUCGGAAUAACUUCUGGAAACGGAAGCUAAUACCGGAUGAUGACGUAAGUCCAAAGAUUUAUCGCCCAAGGAUGAGCCCGCGUAGGAUUAGGUAGUUGGUGAGGUAAAGGCUCACCAAGCCGACGAUCCUUAGCUGGUCUGAGAGGAUGAUCAGCCACACUGGGACUGAGACACGGCCCAGACUCCUACGGGAGGCAGCAGUAGGGAAUAUUGGACAAUGGGCGAAAGCCUGAUCCAGCAAUGCCGCGUGAGUGAUGAAGGCCUUAGGGUUGUAAAGCUCCUUUACCCGGGAUGAUAAUGACAGUACCGGGAGAAUAAGCUCCGGCUAACUCCGUG